AAUAGAUACCCUGGUAGUCCACCCCGUAAACGUUGGGAACUAGUUGUGGGGACCAUUCCACGGUUUCCGUGACGCAGCUAACGCAUUAAGUUCCCCGCCUGGGGAGUACGGCCGCAAGGCUAAAACUCAAAGGAAUUGACGGGGACCCGCACAAGCGGCGGAGCAUGCGGAUUAAUUCGAUGCAACGCGAAGAACCUUACCAAGGCUUGACAUAUACGAGAACGGGCCAGAAAUGGUCAACUCUUUGGACACUCGUAAACAGGUGGUGCAUGGUUGUCGUCAGCUCGUGUCGUGAGAUGUUGGGUUAAGUCCCGCAACGAGCGCAACCCUCGUUCUAUGUUGCCAGCACGUAAUGGUGGGAACUCAUGGGAUACUGCCGGGGUCAACUCGGAGGAAGGUGGGGAUGACGUCAAAUCAUCAUGCCCCUUACGUCUUGGGCUUCACGCAUGCUACAAUGGCCGGUACAAAGGGCUGCAAUCCGUAAGUGGAGCGAAUCCCAAAAAGCCGGUCCAGUUCGGAUUGAGGUCUGCAACUCGACCUCAUG
rnacentral:rRNA from 1 species